rnacentral:rRNA from 1 species
AUUGAACGCUGGCGGCAGGCUUAACACAUGCAAGUCGAGCGGAGAUGAGGUGCUUGCACCUUAUCUUAGCGGCGGACGGGUGAGUAAUGCUUAGGAAUCUGCCUAUUAGUGGGGGACAACAUUCCGAAAGGAAUGCUAAUACCGCAUACGUCCUACGGGAGAAAGCAGGGGAUCUUCGGACCUUGCGCUAAUAGAUGAGCCUAAGUCGGAUUAGCUAGUUGGUGGGGUAAAGGCCUACCAAGGCGACAAUCUGUAGCGGGUCUGAGAGGAUGAUCCGCCAAACUGGGACUGAGACACGGCCCAGACUCCUACGGGAGGCAGCAGUGGGGAACAUUGGACAAUGGGGGGAACCCUGAUCCAGCCAUGCCACGUGUGUGAAGAAGGCCUUAUGGUUGUAAAGCACUUUAAGCGAGGAGGAGGCUACUGAGACUAAUACUCUUGGAUAGUGGACGUUACUCGCAGAAUAAGCACCGGCUAACUCUGUGCCAGCCGCCGCAGUAACAC